GUUCUUUCUUCUUCACUUUUUUUUGGUCAUUAUUCUCUAUACAAUGUAUAUCCCCAUUAUUGAUUCCAGACUCAUAAUCAAUGCUCAUAUAUCCAUCCGUAAACCAAACUAGAAAACUACGUAAACGGAUUUGCACGUUGAACACGAAAACCCGGAAACUUUUCACCGUUGCCAUUUUUUAUACUAUGACGCAAAAACCAUGGACGCUCGUGCGUCUGCUGAUUUGAUUUUUUUUACCGUAUUUUAAAAACACCUAGACAGAGACAGCCAGAAAGAUAAUACAAGACACUUAAUAUUAUUCAAACUGAGAGGUCAAAAAUUUAGUAUGAAUGUAUUAUUAAUUGUCGAUUAACUGGAAAAAACCGGCGAACAAAAAAUUGAAAUGAACAUGAUGAAAGUCAAACCAACCGGAACAUUGACGGAUUUAUGUACCCACUAUUUUGUACUUGGAAAGCGCAACGAAAGGUAAAUAUUAUCUUACACAUGUUUUAAAUGGAUAAAAGCAGAUGCUAGUGCUAUAGUUUACAGUCUUUUGACUUUAUACCGGCGGCGUACAACAUGUCAAAUGUUAUCAUGGUUAUGCAUGCACAGGGGUUUCUGUUUGUUACAAUUUGCCGGGUUCACUAUCCAUUACGAACCCCGAAAAAUUGGGGUUGCAUAGUAAACACGGCAAAGUGUAACAAACCCCUGUGAUGCAUGUAAACCCUUUAAUCAGUCCAAGAACGGAAGCAAGACAACUCGACCUGCCGACAAAUCUCCCCACUUUUUCACCAACUCGCCCCACUUUUAACAGUUUAAAAAAAAUCCCCCCACUAAAUGAAAAGUGUUUAAUCCUGUCAAAUAUACUCCUGCCAAAUCCCCACUUGUGAAAAUGAGUAAAAUCCAGAUUAAUAUUAAAAAAAAGUCAAAAGAACACUGUUCAUGCUGUUAAACCCUGUUUUUAAAUGGGUAACAAUGUUAUAAAGGUCAGCCAAAAUAUGAAGACUGAAGUAUAGAAAAUACAGAAAAAAAUAUAUUAUUGUGAAAGAGCACAAAAUAAAGAAAUUCAUUGGCGCCAUAAUUUUUUUAAAUCUGAGUCGACUGGUUCAAAGGUUAUAACAAUUAAGAUUUAAAAAAAUUGUCCAAGACAAAAAUACUAUAUUUUGGGGCUAAUUUUUAGGCCAAAAUGAAAUAUAACAAAAGGUAAUGACAAAAAUGUAGGAACAGCAAGCAAUUAAUAUAAAACUUUGUAAAAAAAACACAUUGGGAUUCUUUUUUUGCUAUUUGUCAACCUUGGGCAUCUUUGAAUAAAUGCUACAUGUAUGUUUAAACAUUCAUACCUUAAUAUGGAAAUUUAAAGCAGGCAGAGGUUUAAAUAUAUUAACAUGAUUAACAAAUGUAAUGCCAAAAUAUCUCAAUUUUUUUAUAGCAACUCAAAAUCAUGCUGUCAGGCUACAUGUAUAUGUGUUGUACAUGGGAAGUGGACCCCUGGAGGAGAUGAAAGGUCUAUUUAAUAGUAUGUAAUGUAAAUAUAUAAAUAAGAAAAGGUGGUAUGAUUGCCAAUGAGAAAAGAGAGAAAUUUGUACAAAUGAAAAUUCACUUGUUUUCCAAUCCUAAUAAAACUGUCAAGAUUCACAUGAUAUUGUAAUGUUUACAUUAUUUUCAAAAUACAAUAUUGUUUACACUAAUGAGAAAAGACAACUCUUCACCAGAGAUUAAAUAGAAGUUAACAGCUAUCAUGACUAUAGGUCACCUUACAUCCUUCAACAAUGAGCAAAGCCCAUGUAUCUAAUAGUCCGCUAUAAAAGACCCCAAAUGAAAAUGAUAAAUUUGUAAAACAUUUCAAACAAGAAAACUAACUAGACUAAUUUAUGUACAAAAAAAGAACAAAAAAACAAAAUAUAAUAUACAGCAACAAACCAAACCACUGAAUUACAGGCUGAUACUCAUGUACAGAAUGUGAUGGGGCUAGACUAGUAGUUUUGUGAUGCCAAACCCAUCUAUCUGGGGAUAUUAUUGUGAACAAGGCCUAACUCAUCAAUCUAAACAAAGCAGAAAGACAUCUUACACAUCCCCUUAACAAAAAAGACUAAGUACAUAUCUGAGAGUACUCCCUGAGUUACAUGUACCAACAGCUAGUUCAAAGCCAAUAACAAGACUUUUGGUGUAAUUAUGAAUAACUUCAAAUUUCAAAGUACAUGAUCAUGCAUGUAUCAUGAUUAUUAAAAUGACUUACUAAUUUUCGCAGAUACUUUAUUUCGCGUUUCAGCCUUUCUUGUCCACUUCGUGCCAAUUUAAUUUCGCGAUUUUGUAAUUUACCUGAUGUAGUUUAAUAAUGAAAGAUCCAAGCUUUACAUUUUCACGACGAUUUAUAUUCGCGUUAUUUUUCUACUCACAAAAGUCGCGAAAAUAAGUUGGUUUACAGUUUUGCCCAAAGAUUGGCAUUAUAUAUCAUGUCGGAUUUAGAGCUAAAAUAUAACCACUUUUGUUCAGCUCUUCAUUCAAGGGUCAUAUUGAUUUUAUUUUAUUGAUAAGAACAUUCCAAUGAAUGUUUUUGUAUAGUCAAACUUUUUCAUGGCAAGUUUGGUGGUUUUAUUUAAAAGAUCAAAAUGGUAAAACUUUUUCAAGGCAACUUUGGUGGUCUUGCUAAAAAGUCAUAAUAAGCCAGUUUGCCAUAUCAAAAUAUUUUAAGGCAAUUUUGGCAGAUAUUUUUACUUCAUUUUAUUAAACAUUAUUUCUUUUAGCACUUUCAAUGAAAAUACAAGUCCUUCAAGAAGUACGAGAAGCUAACAUGGCUAUAGCAACAGAACAGAAUUCAUUUUAGGCAUUGCUUUCUAGAUUAAAUAGAUAGUAUAGUCAUAGAUCGUCAUAUUGAUUUAUGUGCAUAUGAGGAGCAGCAGUCAAGGAAUAAUUUUGUGAUGAGAGGUAUGUAAUGAAAUGAAAACUUUGUUUGAAUAUUUUUUUCUUGUCACACUCUGUACAUAAAAUUGAGAAUGGAAAUGGGGAAUGUGCCAAAGAGACAACAACCCGACCGUAGAAAAAAACAACAGCAGAAGGUCACCAACAGGUCUUCAAUGUAGCGAGAAAUUCCCACACCCGGAGGCGUCCUUCAACUGGCCCCUAAACAAAUAUAUACUAGUUCAGUGAUAAUGUUUCAAAGAUUUUUUAUACGCCCGUCUGACAAAAUAAAUUUUGGAGGGAUGAAUUAUCGAAUACAAAUGUCCGGUGCCCACAUGUGAAAAAUUAUUACACCAGGGUUUUCGAUAUCACAAACUAGUCAAAACAUUUUAUCAUCGGUAUAAGGAAUUCAUUUAAGGAAUGACUGUAAUAUUUUUUCUGUCUAUGAAGAAAUAACAUAAAAAAUUUGGUGCACACUGAAUAACGCGCGUAGCAGGUUAUUUAACAGUGUGCACCACAUUUUUUAUGUUAUUUCGAAUAGACAGAAAAAAUAUUACAGUCAUUUCUUAUAAUUUAAUUUUUAAUUCUAAAUUCCAUUUUAAACCGUAGAAAACCAUGAAAAAACGUUGAUGACGUCACGGUAACGUGACCAAAUUAUGUCUAUGGGCUGAUAACAAAAUAACGUCAGCCAAUCAGGAGACGCGUUACAUCCAAAAUUAAAUUAUUCUUAAAUAUUUAUCACUCAACAUGCAGACAUCUUAUACGUUCAGGUAUUUCACAUCCAAUCUUUUAUGAUAAUAUUCUUUACAAAGCACAAAAAUGUCAGCAUUCACCUCAAAAGCUAACAAAACUUUUAAUCAGACUUAUAAGAAGGGAUAUAUAGUUGCCAUACUCUUGUCAGGUCAUUAAAGAUUGCAUAUUUUGGCUUUAAUAUUGAUUAACCUAUAGGGUCUUUUGACAGAAUUAAACACAUUUAUUCUAAAACCAGUUGUUGGUAUGACAAGGUAUCUUUUUUGUCAGAUAUUUUUGUAAUUAAUUUCAUAUCGUACGUCUAUCUAUAUCAGCAUGGUCUUGUAUGAGUUUUGAACUAAGUGCUAUCAAAUAUGUUGACAGGAGCUAUGUCUGAUAUACUGAAUAUAAAUUGUAAGGAAAAUUGCAUUGCAUUAGCAAUCCCACACAGGUUUACAUUUCUUGUAGAUUUUUAAGAAAAAGUUUAUAAGAAAAGAAAAAAAAAAUGUAGUUUUUAUUGCUUUUUGACAGCAAAUUUAUUCAUCCAUUGGCGAGGUACAUUGAAAGGUUGUUCUUUUAUUAAAUGCAUGAAGUAUCAUAUGGAUGGCAACAAAUGACAACAGUUACAUGUUAUAUUCAUGAGUUUAAUAUUUCCUAUAAAUGGUGUAUUUUAACAAUUUUGCCUAUUAACUUAAAACAGCAAAACAAAACCCAAUAAACAUCAGUAGUUAAUGCCUGAAACUAUUUUUAAAGUUUAGACAGCAGAAAAGAUCCUUUUAAACAACAAGUUAAUACUGUACAUAUAUUUUAUUAGCUAAACUGUUAAUAUUUUUUCUGUUGUUUGUUUAGGUAUUGUUUAAAUUCACUAACAAUGCAAAGUAUAUAGUAAAGGUAUAAAUUAGUUAGCAUUAGCUCAUACUACAAAUGUACAUGUAGUUUUUGUCUGGACUACUUGAUUAAAUUCUUAAGAUUUACAAUUUUACAAUUUAAGCUUAUUGCCAAAUGAAAGGAAAGUACAGUAAUAAAAUCACUGGUGAACAUGUGAAUGUACUACAAAAAGAACUGAUAUCAAAGUAAGUUCAUCUUUAGAAUUGCAGUUAAUUUUGAUAAUACAUUGUAAUAUGAUAUAACAUGUAUAAUCUAUUUAAAACUUUUUAGUUUUAUUGUAAUGUUUUAUAUAAAUCACUGUGUUUCAUUGUUACAGCGGAUAUAGCUACUAACCAAGCUGUAGUGAUCGAUUUUUCUUCUGACAUGGAAUGAAAAUCUCUGUUUUGUUUACUUAAUAUAAAUGUGUACUUCAAUCUAAACAUAAUGGUUGUUUUAGGAAUGAUUUGGUCGUAGGUUGAUGAUAAGAUCAGUUUCAUUUUUUUCCAAAAACGAAAAUGCUUACUAAAAAAAUGUGCAAAUACUUGUCAAAGAAGUUUGCGCUUGUCUUUGUCUUUAUCAUUGAUAUGGUUAUAUUUAUAAAUUAACUGUUCACAAAAUUUAGAAUUUUUGAAAUACUUAGGCUUUUUUACCUCAGGCAUAGAUUACCUUAGCUUGAUUUAGAAAAACUUUUAGGAAUUUUGGUCCUUAAUGCUCUUCAACUUUGUACUUUAUUAGGCCUUUUUAACUUUUUUGGAUUCAAGCGUCACUGAUGACUCUUUUGUAGACAAAACACGUGUCUGGCGUACAUACAAUUUAGUCCUUGGUAUCUAUGAUGAGUUUAUUUACUUAAGGUUUGCCUCAACCAAAUGUUAUGAAUCUUCAACACAAUGCUUAUUAGUUAUAGUACAAAUGUUUAACAUCAGAACAAAGAUCACUUUUGGAUUUUGGUGACAUCAUUUUUAUUGUAUAGAGUUAUGCCCCUUUACAAAUGGAAAAAAUGGUGAUUUUUAGCUCACCUGGCCCAAAGGGCCAAGUGAGCUUUUCUCAUCACUUGGCGUCCGGCGUCGUUAACUUUUAAAAAAAUCUUCUCCUCUGAAACUACUGGGCAAAAUUAAUCCAAACUUGGCCAAAUCAUCUUGGGGUAUCUAGUUUAAAAAAUGUGUGGCGUGAACUGGUCAACCAACCAAGAUGGCCGCCACGGCUAAAAAUAGAACAUAGGGGUAAAAUGCAGUUUUUGGCUUAUAACUCAAAAACCAAAGCAUUUAGAGCAAAUCUGACAUGGGGUAAAAAUGUUAAUCAGGUCAAGAUCUAUCUGCCCUGAAAUUUUCAGAUGAAUCGGUCAAUCGGUUAUUGGGUUGCUGCCCCUGAAUUGAUAAUUUUGAGGAAAUUUUGCUGUUUUUGGUUAUUAUCUUGAAUAUUAUUAUAGAUUAAGAUAAACUGUAAACAGCAAUAGUGUUCAGCAAAGUAAGAUCUACAAAUAAGUCAACAUGAUCAAAAUGGUCAGUUGACCCGUUUAGGAGUUAUUGCCCUUUAUAGUAAAUUUUUAACCAUUUUUCGUAAAUUAAAGUAAUCUUUUACAAAAAUCUUCUCCUCUGAAACUACUAGGCCAAAUUAAUCCAAACUUGGCCACAAUCAUCUUUGGGGUAUCUAGUUUUAAAAAUGUGUGGCGUGACCUGGUCAACCAACCAAGAUGGCUGCCACGGCUAAAAAUAGAACAUAGGGGUAAAAUGCAGUUUUUGGCUUAUAACUCAAAAACCAAAGCAUUUUUAGGAAUCUGACAUGGGAUAAAAAUGUUUAUCAGGUCAAGAUCUAUCUGCCCUGAAAUUUUCAGUUGAAUCGGUCAACCCGUUGUUGGGUUGCUGCCCCUGAAUUGGUAAUUUUGAGGAAAUUUUGCUGUUUUUGGUUAUUAUCUUGAAUAUUAUUAUAGAUAGAGAUAAACUGUAAACAUCAAUAAUGUUCAGCAAAGUUAGACUUACAAAUAAGUCAACAUGACCGAAAUGGUCAGUUGACCCCUUUCAUUGCCUUUAGGAGUUAUUGCCCUUUAUAGUCAAUUUUUAACCAUUUUUCAUAAAUUAAAGUAAUCUUUUACAAAAAUCUCCACUGAAACUACUAGGUCACAAUCAUCUUUGGGGUAUCUAGUUUGAAAAAUGUGUCCGAUGACCUGGCCAUUCAACCAAGAUGGCCGCCACGGCUAAAAAUAGAACAUAGGGGUAAAAUGCAGUUUUUGGCUUAUAAAUAUGAAACCAAAGCAUUUAGAGCAAAUCUGACAAGAAGUAAAAUUGUUAAUCAAGUCAAUAUCUAUCUGCACUGAAUUUUUCAGAUGAAUUGGACAACUGGUUGUUGGGUUGCUGCCCUCCAAUUGGUAAUUUUUAAAGAAAUUUUGCCGUUUUUGGUUAUCUUGAAUACUAUUAUAGAUAGCGAUAAACUGUAAACAGCAAUAAUGUUCAGCAAAGUAAGAUCUACAAAUAAGUCAACAUGACCUAAUGGUCAAUUGACCCCUUAAGGAGUUAUUGCCCUUUAUAGUCAAUUUUUAACAAUUUUCAUUAAUUUGGUAAAUUUAUGUAAAUUUUUACCAAAUAUAGUUCUCUGUUACUAAUGGGCAAAGUUCAUUAUAGAUAUAAUUGUAAGAAGCAAAAUCGUUCAGUAAAGUAAGAACUUCAAACACAUCACCAUCACCAAAAUACAAUUUUGUCAUGAAUCCAUUUGUGUCCUUUGUUUAAUAUGCACAUAGACCAAGGUGAGCGACACAGGCUCUUUAGAGCCUCUAGUUUUAGUUUCCAUUCUCUAAAUAAGAGUUUGCCUCUUCUAUAUCAAUACACAUAGACAUUACUGCAGUUUUUUUAACAUUCUAAAACUAACACGUACACUUGUAUUUUUGUCCAUCUGAUGAGUAGAGCCUUUUUCAACUGAUUUUUAUACGACCCCAAAAAUUUUUGGGAUCGUAUAAUGGUAUGAUGUCGUCGUCGUCCGAAGACACAUUGGUUUCCGGAUAAUAACUUUAGUUAAAGUGAAUAGAUCUUCAUAAAAAAUUUUCAGAAAGUUCACUACCACUAAAGGAAGGUUGAGAUUGAUUUUGGGGACGAAGGUCCCAACUGAUUAGGAAUUAGGGGCCCAAAACAAGCAUUUUUCUAGUUUCAGGAUAAUAACUUGUGUAGAAGUAUUUCAAUUUCUCUGAAAUUGCAAUGUUAAAACCACAAGUAGAAGGUUUGGAUUCAUUUUAUGGGUUAUGGGGCCAAAGUUUAGGAAUUUAGGGCCAAAAAGGGGUCAAAACAAGCAUUUUUCUAGUUACAAGACAAUAACUUGUGUGUAAUUUUAUGGAUCUCUCUGAAAUUGUACCACAAUGUACCAUAUAACAAAGGAGAGGCUGGGAUUAAGUUUUGGGUUAAUUGCCCAAAAUAUGUAGGAAUUAGGGGCCAAAAAAGGGCCAAAAAGAAGCAUGUUUCUAGUUUCUAAACAAUCAUGACAAUAACUUGUGUUUAAGUGUAUGGAUCUCUCUGAAAUUGUACUACAAGGUUCAAUACUACAAAGGAAAGCAUGGGAUUGAGUUUAAGGGUAAUUGCUCCAAGAGGGAUUCAAAAAGUUUUGGGGGAUGGGGGUUUGGGGGGUUGUUCACCAUUUUUUGAAGGGCUUCGUUUUUUUUUCAAAAUUUUUCAAAUUUCGAAUUUUGAAAAGUUUCAAGAAAUCUCCAAUUGCACAGUAUUGCAUGUAUUGUGCAAUAGAUUUGUUAGAUCUUUGACUACAUUUAUUUUUUUGACAAAAACCUAUAUGUCAAAAAUUUGAUCACAAUCCAAAUUCAGACAGAAUCAAGCUUGAAUAUUGUAACCAAAUUUGGCCCAACUGUUCAGGGUUCAACCACUGGGGUCGUAUAAAGCUGCGCCCUGCAGAGCACCUGGUUAUAGUUCGUUUUCAUGUUGUUCUGUUAUACCACUGUCCCAGGUUAGGGGAAGGGUUGUUUUACAUUGUCAUAUCGGGGCCUUAUAUCAUGUAUAUAGCCAAAUAUUUGGUAUGGGCUUUACUCAUUGUUGAAGGCCGUACAGUGACCAAUAGCAUGUAUAGUUGUUAAUGUCCGUGUCAUUUUGGUCUCUUGUAGAUAUAGACAGUUGUCUCAUUGGCAAUCAUUGUUGUACAUUGUCAUUUCGGGGCCUUUUAUAACUAACUAUGCGGUAUGGGCUUUGCUCAUUGUUAAAGGCCGUACGGUGACCUAUAGUUGUUAAUGUCCGUGUCAUUUUGGUCUCUUGUAGAUAAAGACAGUUGGCAAUCAUACCACAUCUUUUUUUUUAUAUGCGUAUACAUUAUAAGCUGUUUGAGACCUCUUAAGUGAAUUACACUUUUAAUUAUUAUCGAAUUAUUUAAUUUACUUAAGUCAAAUUUAUAUUAUUUAUGAAUAUUUUAUUUCAGUUACCAUUCACAGUGAACAUGGUGAAGAAUAACCAAUAAAGGACAUAGAAGACUACCUCACAAACAUUGGAAAUAUUACAAGAAAAACCCAAUAUUUUGAUUCACGAAGAAGACAUUCAUGUACAUGUUGUACUUUGAAAACUGAAGAAAUAAAAUUGUGAAUAAAAAU
rnacentral:lncRNA from 1 species